UUGGUGGGGUGACGGCCUACCAAGGCGACGACGGGUAGCCGGCCUGAGAGGGUGUCCGGCCACACUGGGACUGAGAUACGGCCCAGACUCCUACGGGAGGCAGCAGUGGGGAAUAUUGCACAAUGGGCGCAAGCCUGAUGCAGCGACGCCGCGUGGGGGAUGACGGCCUUCGGGUUGUAAGCCUCUUUCACCAUCGACGAAGGUCCGGGGUUUCUCGGAUUGACGGUAGGUGGAGAAGAAGCACCGGCCAACUACGUGCCAGCAGCCGCGGUAAUACGUAGGGUGCGAGCGCUGUCCGGAAUUACUGGGCGUAAAGAGCUCGUAGGUGGUUUGUCGCGUUGUUCGUGAAAUCUCACGGCUUAACUGUGAGCGUGCGGGCGAUACGGGCAGACUGGAGUACUGCAGGGGAGACUGGAAUUCCUGGUGUAGCGGUGGAAUGCGCAGAUAUCAGGAGGAACACCGGUGGCGAAGGCGGGUCUCUGGGCAGUAACUGACGCUGAGGAGCGAAAGCGUGGGGAGCGAACAGGAUUAGAUACCCUGGUAGUCCACGCCGUAAACGGUGGGUACUAGGUGUGGGUUUCCUUCCUUGGGAUCCGUGCCGUAGCUAACGCAUUAAGUACCCCGCCUGGGGAGUACGGC
rnacentral:rRNA from 1 species